rnacentral:rRNA from 1 species
AUCUUUAAAAUUAAAAAUUUUGGCGGUAUUUUAGUCUGUUCAGAGGAACCUGCCCUGUAAUUGAUAAUCCACAAUUUAUUUUACUUUAAUUAUAAUUUGUAUAUCGUUGUAAUAAAAUAUUUUUUAAGAAUUGAAAUAUUGAAAAUUUAAAUUAUAAAAUAAGUCAAAUCAAGAUGUAGUUUAUAUUAAAGUUGAGGUGGGUUACAUUAAAAUAAUUUAGAUGGAGAUUUAAUUGAAAAUUAAGUUGAAGGUGGAUUUGAUAGUAAUUUGAAAUAAAUUUUUAAAAUGAUUUAGCUCUAAAAUAUGCACAUAUUGCCCGUCGCUUUCAUUUUAAAAUGAAAUAAGUCGUAACAUAGUAGAUGUACCGGAAGGUGUUUCUAGAAAGCAAGUUAGAGCUUGAUAAAAGCAUUUUAUUUACACUAAAAAGUUAAUUGUGAAAUUCAAUUUAACUUGAUUUAGAGAGGUUUAUUAAUUUUAAUAUGUAUUUAUUAGGUGACGAAAUAAAUUUUUUGUUUAAUUAUAAAUUUGAAAAAAUUGAUUUAAUUAUAGAGUAUAGUAUCGAGAGAGAAAAAUUAAAGAUUAAAAAAGGAGGAAAUUUCUGUACCUUGUGUAUCAGGGUUUACUAAAAAAAAUUAGUUGAGUAAUAUUUUCCCGAAUUGAGAAGAGCUAAUUUUUUAUAAAUUUUAUUGUGAAAUAAAUAUUUGUAAUAAAAAGUUAGAAAUGAAAUGUUAUUCGUUUUUAAUAUAUCUGGUUUUAAAAGAAAAAAGUUUAAUUUUUUUGAAAUUUAAUAUUUAAUUUUUUGUUUAGGAAUAUAUUAAUUUCAAUUUAUAUAUUUAGGGAUGAGCUUAAGUAUAGAUUUAUAUAAUUAUAUAGAAGGUAAUUUUAUUUUAGGAUUAGAAUUGUUCAUAAAUAAUAGUAUGUUAUAAUUAAAGAAUUAGUAUUUAAGAUUUAUAUUUAAUUUAUUUAGUUUAUUUUAAAGUUAAUUAAAAUAUAAAAAAUUAGGGUAUAAUGGUAAAAUUAGUAUAUAAAGGAGUAUUGUUGAAUUAGCAUAAGGUAAAUUUAAGGAAUUCGGCAAAGUAAUUUUUCACCUGUUUAUUAAAAACAUGUCUUUUUGAGAUUAAUUUAAGGUCGGCCCUGCCCACUGAAAAUUGAAUGGCCGCGGUAUUUUGACCGUGCAAAGGUAGCAUAAUCAUUAGUUUUUUAAUUGAAAGCUGGAAUGAAAGGGUUAAUGAAAAAAUAACUGUCUCAAGUUUAAUUUAUUAGAAUUUUAUUUUUAAGUAAAAAAGCUUAAAUUUUAUUUAAAGACGAUAAGACCCUAUAGAGUUUAAUAUAAUAUGAAGUUAAUUAAAGAAGAAUUGAA